CCAGUCUNCAAGAGCAAANGUCCACUGGUCGCAGCACCCNNGCCGGGNGAAGAUAGCGAAANCACUUGUNCUUUCAGUGCGGACUAGUAUGAAUGGAACCACGAGGGUUAUACUGUCUCCUUUCGCUGAUCAGUGAUANUAAUCUCCCCGUNAAGAAGCNGUGAUAAAUAUAUAUGACGAGAAGACCCUAUGGAGCUUUAAAUAAUAUAGCACUUGCAACAUAACAUAAAAAUUUCUGAAUAUUUUAAUUUAUGAGCAACAUGUAUAUAAAUUUUUGGUUGGGGUGGCCGCGGAGCAUAACACAACCUCCAUGUUGNAAGAACUUCUUUCUAAGCUAAGAACUACCAGACGAAGCAUCNAUAUACUGACAUUCAUUGNNCCAAUAUAUCUGCNCNUCGANCCAAGUUACNCUAGGGAUANCAGCGCAAUCCCCUCCAAUGAUCCCCUAUCAACAAGUGUGAUNUGCGACNUAGAUGNUGCUUCUGGGUAUCCNAAUG
rnacentral:rRNA from 1 species